GAUGAACGCUGGCGGCGUGCCUAAUACAUGCAAGUCGAGCGAAUGGAUUGAGAGCUUGCUCUUAUGAAGUUAGCGGCGGACGGGUGAGUAACACGUGGGUAACCUGCCCAUAAGACUGGGAUAACUCCGGGAAACCGGGGCUAAUACCGGAUAACAUUUUGAACCGCAUGGUUCGAAAUUGAAAGGCGGCUUCGGCUGUCACUUAUGGAUGGACCCGCGUCGCAUUAGCUAGUUGGUGAGGUAACGGCUCACCAAGGCAGCGAUGCGUAGCCGACAUGAGAGGGUGGUCGGCCACACUGGGACUGAGACACGGCCCAGACUCCUACGGGAGGCAGCAGUAGGGAAUCUUCCGCAAUGGACGAAAGUCUGACGGAGCAACGCCGCGUGAGUGAUGGAGGCUUUCGGGUCGUAAAACGCUGUUGUUAGGGAAGAACAAGUGCUAGUUGAAUAAGCUGGCACCUUGACGGUACCUAACCAGCAAGCCACGGCUAACUACGUGCCAGCCGCCGCGGUAA
rnacentral:rRNA from 1 species